rnacentral:rRNA from 1 species
AAAUUGAAGAGUUUGAUCAUGGCUCAGAUUGAACGCUGGCGGCAGGCCUAACACAUGCAAGUCGAACGGUAACAGGAAGCAGCUUGCUGCUUCGCUGACGAGUGGCGGACGGGUGAGUAAUGUCUGGGAAACUGCCUGAUGGAGGGGGAUAACUACUGGAAACGGUGGCUAAUACCGCAUAACGUCGCAAGACCAAAGAGGGGGACCUUCGGGCCUCUUGCCAUCAGAUGUGCCCAGAUGGGAUUAGCUAGUUGGUGAGGUAACGGCUCACCAAGGCGACGAUCCCUAGCUGGUCUGAGAGGAUGACCAGCCACACUGGAACUGAGACACGGUCCAGACUCCUACGGGA